rnacentral:rRNA from 1 species
AUUGAACACUGGCGGCAUGCCUUACACACGCAAGUCGAACGGCAGCACGGGAGCUUGCUCCUGGUGGCGAGUGGUGAACGGGUGAGUAAUACAUCGGAACGUACCCAGGAGUGGGGGAUAACGCACCGAAAGGUGCGCUAAUACCGCAUACGACCUAAGGGUGAAAGCGGGGGACCGCAAGGCCUCGCGCCAUUGGAGCGGCCGGGGUCUGGUUAGCUAGUUGGCGGGGUAAAGGCCCACCAAGGAGGAGCUCAGUUGGUGGGCUGAGAGGCCGAUCAGCCACACUGGGACUUAAACACGGCCCAGACUCCUACGGGAGGCAGCAGUGGGGAAUUUUGGACAAUGGGGGCAACCCUGAUCCAGCAAUGCCGGGUGUGCGAAGAAGGCCUUCGGGUUGUAAAGCGCUUUUGUCAGGGAAGAAAUCUUUCAGGCUAAUCCCCUCGGAAGGAUGACGGUACCUGAAGAAUAAGCACCGGCUAACUACGUGCCAGCAGCCGCCGUAA